rnacentral:rRNA from 1 species
GAUGAACGCUGGCGGCGUGCCUAAUACAUGCAAGUCGAGCGAAUGGAUUAAGAGCUUGCUCUUAUGAAGUUAGCGUCGGACGGGUGAGUAACACGUGGGUAACCUGCCCAUAAGACUGGGAUAACUCCGGGAAACCGGGGCUAAUACCGGAUAACAUUUUGAACCGCAUGGUUCGAAAUUGAAAGGCGGCUUCGGCUGUCACUUAUGGAUGGACCCGCGUCGCAUUCGCUAGUUGGUGAGGUAACGGCUCACCAAGGCAACGAUGCGUAGCCGACCUGAGAGGGUGAUCGGCCACACUGGGACUGAGACACGGCCCAGACUCCUACGGGAGGCAGCAGUAGGGAAUCUUCCGCAAUGGACGAAAGUCUGACGGAGCAACGCCGCGUGAGUGAUGAAGGCUUUCGGGUCGUAAAACUCUGUUGUUAGGGAAGAACAAGUGCUAGUUGAAUAAGCUGGCACCUUGACGGUACCUAACCAGAAAGCCACGGCUAACUACGUGCCAGCAGCCGCCGUAA